rnacentral:lncRNA from 1 species
GACGGGGCCUGGGUGUCUUCAGGCUUUUGAGUCUUCCCCAUCAGCAUUUCUUUCAUUCAAAAUAAAGUUAAAAGAACCCCCCAGGACACGAGGGACUCCAGGCACCCCAAGCUCAGAGGCACAGUUUUGAGGGGAGCUCUCUCCUCACAUGAAGUGUGGCCUUGAGGCCACCCAUCACCCAUGCCAACAUCAGACUUCGACGGCGAGAGAGCAUUGACCUCCUUUCAGCAAAUGUCGAUGCCAAGAAAAAGUGCUCUGCAAAUUCAACCGCUGCUGCUGCUCAAAUCUCCUAUGAAGCUGAGAAUUAGAGGAAGCUUCCAGAACCUGGCAGCCCCAGCAGCGUUCCCAAUGGCAGAGCCCAAGCCCUCGGCUCUCCUGCUCUUCCUCACCUUGCACAAGAUCUGCUCUCCAGAUGGGUCAUGAAAAGGCAUU